CUGGCGGCGUGCUUAACACAUGCAAGUCGAACGAGAAGAGAUGAGAAGCUUGCUUCUUAUUAAUUCGAGUGGCAAACGGGUGAGUAACGCGUAAGCAACCUGCCCUUCAGAUGGGGGACAACAGCUGGAAACGGCUGCUAAUACCGAAUACGUUCUUUUUGUCGCAUGGCAGAGGGAAGAAAGGGAGGCUCUUCGGAGCUUUCGCUGAAGGAGGGGCUUGCGUCUGAUUAGCUAGUUGGAGGGGUAACGGCCCACCAAGGCGACGAUCAGUAGCCGGUCUGAGAGGAUGAACGGCCACAUUGGGACUGAGACACGGCCCAGACUCCUACGGGAGGCAGCAGUGGGGAAUCUUCCGCAAUGGACGAAAGUCUGACGGAGCAACGCCGCGUGAACGAUGACGGCCUUCGGGUUGUAAAGUUCUGUUAUACGGGACGAAUGGCGUAGCGGUCAAUACCCGUUACGAGUGACGGUACCGUAAGAGAAAGCCACGGCUAACUACGUG
rnacentral:rRNA from 1 species